UACGUAGGGAGCAAGCGUUGUCCGGAAUCAUUGGGCGUAAAGCGCGCGUAGGCGGCCUCAUAAGUCCGUUGUGAAAGUCAAAGGCUCAACCUUUGAAAGCCGAUGGAUACUGUGAGGCUAGAGUUCGGAAGAGGCGAGUGGAAUUCCUGGUGUAGCGGUGGAAUGCGCAGAUAUCAGGAGGAACACCAAUAGCGAAGGCAGCUCGCUGGGACGAUACUGACGCUAAGGCGCGAAAGCGUGGGGAGCGAACAGG
rnacentral:rRNA from 2 species